rnacentral:tRNA from 1 species
GGGCAUUUGGUCUAGUGGUAUGAUUCUUGCUUAAGGUGCGAGAAGUCCCGAGUUCAAUUCUCGUAAUUGCCA